rnacentral:rRNA from 1 species
GACGAACGCUGGCGGCGUGCUUAACACAUGCAAGUCGAACGGAAAGGCCCUGCUCUUGUGGGGUGCUCGAGUGGCGAACGGGUGAGUAACACGUGAGUAACCUGCCCUUGACUUUGGGAUAACUUCAGGAAACUGGGGCUAAUACCGGAUAGGAGCUCCUGCUGCAUGGUGGGGGUUGGAAAGUUUCGGCGGUUGGGGAUGGACUCGCGGCUUAUCAGCUUGUUGGUAGGGUAGUGGCUUACCAAGGCUUUGACGGGUAGCCGGCCUGAGAGGGUGACCGGCCACAUUGGGACUGAGAUACGGCCCAGACUCCUACGGGAGGCAGCAGUGGGGAAUAUUGCACAAUGGGCGGAAGCCUGAUGCAGCAACGCCGCGUGCGGGAUGACGGCCUUCGGGUUGUAAACCGCUUUCGCCUGUGACGAAGCGUGAGUGACGGUAAUGGGUAAAGAAGCACCGGCUAACUACGUG